rnacentral:misc_RNA from 1 species
UACGGAGGGGGCUAGCGUUAUUCGGGAUUAUUGGGCGUAAAGGGUGCGUAGGCGGCCAGGCAAGUCAAAGGUGAAAUCCCUCGGCUCAACCGAGGAACUGCCUUUGAAACUACCUGGCUCGAGGCCGGGAGGGGGAAGCGGAAUUCCAGUGUAGCGGUGAAAUGCGUAGAUAUUGGGAGGAACGCCGGUGGCGAAGGCGGCUACCUGGACCGGUUCUGACGCUGAUGCGCGAAAGCGUGGGGAGCAAACAGG